rnacentral:lncRNA from 1 species
GGGGGGUGGGCAGGGAACUCCAGGACAGGGCAGGGAGGAAGGUGGCUCCAGGACAGUGUGCAGGGGGGGAAGCGACUCCAGGACAGGGCGGAGGGGAGGCAGCAUGUGACAGAGAGCAGCUCAAGGUGCGAACGCAGGAGCCAGGGCAUUUACCACGACGUUUUUGGAUAAAUACUUGAAGUUUUUCACAAUAGAAUACGGGUAGAAAAUUACAGCCCCUGGAAGCCGCGGGGCUCACUGCCCAGCUGCCACCUCCUCUGACAUGCCCCACGUGGGACCCUGUUUGAGCCUCCCAAUAACCCCAGAACCAGCAUCGCCCUUCCACCAGGAGGGGAGGCAAGUGUACCUGCCCGGAGGCCCCAGGCCCGGCCCCCCAGGGCUCAAGGCGCAGAGCAGGAGGGCAGCGCUUACGGAAGCUGCUGUCGGUUUCUGCCUAGUGUACAAUGUCUUUUCAUGCAGGACAGCGGAUGUGUAUCUUCAGAUGCAGCGGUCUGAGUCGCGUCAGACUCGCAGUGGACACCUGACAAGUCCCGCCCGAGGUGAGGGCCUCGUCCCCGUCAUCAGCACACCUGACACAGAGCACGCCCCGUCACUGGGGCACGCUGCGGCUGGGGCUCCGCUGACCUGCCUGCCGACUCACGCGUGGCUCUUGGCUGUCUUCAGAAUGCUCGGAGACUCCUCUCCAGUUUCCUCGCAGAGAGCCCUCAUAUAG